UACGUAGGGUGCAAGCGUUAAUCGGAAUUACUGGGCGUAAAGGGCUCGUAGGUGGCCAACUAAGUCAGACGUGAAAUCCCUCGGCUUAACCGGGGAACUGCGUCUGAUACUGGUUGGCUUGAAUCCGGGAGAGGGAUGUGGAAUUCCAGGUGUAGCGGUGAAAUGCGUAGAUAUCUGGAGGAACACCGGUGGCGAAGGCGGCAUCCUGGACCGGUAUUGACGCUGAGGAGCGAAAGCCAGGGGAGCAACGGGG
rnacentral:rRNA from 1 species